CAUAGACCCCCUUUCGCCCCCACGUGCGGAACAGCCUCCCCCCCAUACAGCCCCACGUGCGGGGAGGGUGCAGAGGAGGCUGCUUGCCCGCCGCUGUCUCGGAGGAUGAAGAGACUGAGCGAGGAGACCUGGGCGGGCUCCGAUUCGGACGGGACAAUAGACGUGGGCAAAGAGGAGCAAUACAGCCAAGUAUCUAGAGCUGUUUCUCCCACCACCACAUCUCAGAUACAAGCCAGGAAGAAGCGGAGAGGGAUCAUUGAGAAGCGGCGCCGUGACCGUAUUAACAGCAGCCUGUCUGAACUGAGGCGUUUAGUCCCUACUGCCUUUGAGAAGCAGGGCUCCUCCAAGCUGGAGAAGGCAGAGAUCCUGCAAAUGACAGUGGACCACUUAAAAAUGCUUCAUGCCACUGGAGGAACAGGGUUCUUAGAUGCCCGCGCCCUGGCUGUGGAUUACAGGAGUAUCGGCUUCCGUGAAUGCCUCACUGAAGUUGUCAGAUACCUUGGUAUCCUUGAGGGACAAAACGGUGCUGAUCCUAUCCGGCUACGACUCCUCUCCCACCUGAAUAAUUACGUUGCUGAAAUGGAGCCUUCGCCCAUAGCCACUUCCCUUCUGCCCUUUCAGAUGUGGCCCUGGUCAUUCCUCCACAAUUCCACAGCCCCCGCCAACCAAGUACUAAUACCCAGGAGGGAGGCUGUCCCGGGUCUAGCUGUCUUGACUGCUUCCCCCGUGGCUUAUCCAAGCACCACCAUGAGAAGAGCUCCCGUUCGCCGAAUUCCUAGUGCCAUCAUGCCAGCCCGCCGAAACUUCCUUUCCAAUAGGAUGGCCUCUUCGUCCCGGAGGGCUAGACCCACAGUGACAUCAACAAUCCCAGGUGCCAUGCCCAGUGUGCCAUCACCGGGUGGUGCCCUGAGAGAUGCCACCUCUAGAAGCAGCCAGAUUGCAACAUUCCUGCUCUCCUCCACCUCUGCUGGAGUUCCCGUACCACCUGCUUCUUACCCAGCUCCUCCUGCUUUGAAUGCUUCUCCCCAGGGGCCAGGCAACAGAAGUGGGACUUCCAGACUCUGCCGCUCCUGGGCUACUGAAAUUGGAGCUUUCUGAUCCCUCCCUGACAAAAUCCUAGCAGAGACAAACAUCAUCCGCAGCCACUGCUCAAAAAGCACGCUCUGAGGAGCAGCUUCUUUCCUGCUUUGCAGAAAUAAACAAUCGAUAAAGAAUCCUCUCCUCACCUUGCCCUCCCUUCUUAUUCCUCAUGUCAUCUUCCCUCUCUCUCCAUCACACUGUCUCCCUCUUUUCCAUUUCAGGUUUGCAGAUUUUGUAUUGAACUGAAUGUGUUUGUCUGUGUACAACUCCACUAAAGGUUGUAGGUGAGGUUUAUCCUAAUUCAGACCUUUCCCUUCCCCAGCCCAGGCCCUAGUAGAGCUGAAUGUUGCCGUUUGGAGAAUGUGAACCAGCCUUGGCACUGAUUUGACUUUGCUGGAGACACAGAGCUCGCAAGCAGUGACAUUUUCUAUCACUUGUAUGCAGUGUUGUUGUAGCCAUGUAGGUCCCAGGAUGUUAGCAAGUCAAGGUGUGGGAGGGAAUAUCUUUUAUUGGACCAACUUCUGCUAGUGACCAAGAAAGCUUUCCAGCUUAUGCAGAGCUUGUCUUCAGGCCAGCCCUGAAGAAGAAUUCUGUGUCAGCUUGAAAGCUUGUCUCUCUCACCUACAGAAGUUGGUCCAAGAAAACAUAUUCCCUCCCACACCUUGACUUUCCAACACUGACUUCCUCUCAGCUUGAGCAUGUUGUUUGACAUGGUCUAAGUGAGGUGAGACGUGCUGGCGAAUAAUAGAGACGACCCACCACACGCACACAAACUGUCCUUUGAUAACUGAACUCAACCCCCCUCAGGAUUGCUGUGAACAGUCAGGACAGUUGGGAGGUUUCUCUCCGUUGGCCAACCCCAUUCUCUUGAUCUCUGAAAAUGGAGAGCUUGACACUGUGUGUAACAGGCUCAUUCAAAACACAUAACCCUGAGGGACGAGACGAGUUGGAUGAAAAUGUAAUGGUUCACGAUCUCCCUCUGAACUGACACACUGAGAUACCCAGUACGCAUUUCUGCUGCAUAGAAUUAUCCCAGUACAGGACUUCCUCUACAUAAGACCCCAAUACUGUGUGCAGUCCACAUUUUCAUUUUCCGUGGCUCGGCCUUUACCUAAAACCAGGGCCUUCCCAAGUGUCACUAGUGUACUUGAUUCAUGGAAACAUUUGCCUGAUCCUGUGUUUAGAUCAAUGCUGUUAUCAGAAUGUUUUCAGGAGGAAUUAUCAGACAUUACUAUGCAAAAUUCCUUUGCCAGCUGCUGUUUGGGAUUCCCUAUGUAGAUAAUUCAGAUGUCUGUGAGAGAAAGAGACCUUUCUCAUCCAGUGAAGCAUUAUUAUAGAGUAAGGGAGCAGGUUUCCAAAGUGACACCUGUCAUGGAGGGGAGGGCUUGGCAGCUGAAAUACAAGGAGAAGGAUGCCCUUCCUUCUCUCUUCCCCUCUUCAGCCAUCAAUCCUCCCUCCCCAUAUGAAAAUCCAUUACCAUAAAGGGAGGAGGGGAAGAAAGCAUUCUUUACCCCAAGCUCCUUCUUUGUUUUUGCCAACGUCCAGAUCCUUAAUUAAAGCUUCUAGCCUGUUCCCCAGGCUCAGCUCUGCUCUUUAUCGCCAUGUUCUCUGCAUGGACUUCAUCCCAAACCCACUGAAGUCAAUGGCAGUCUUUCCACUGACUUCAUGGGCUUUUGAUCAGCCCCCAUAAUGUCCUCUGUCUCUUGAAAGCUUUCUCUGCCUUUGUCUCCCCUCUGUGUGUUCCUAUAUAAAUGCCAAGGAUGAUGAUUAUUCUUUGUCUUUUGCUCACUCCAUACCUCUGAGUCUCCUCUCAAUCCCUACAGUGAGGAACAGCUAUUUGGCAUUCUCAAACUCUGCUCCUGUCUCACCUCUUCUUCGCUCUUGUGGUUUUGAAACUGUGGCCUAGUGACUAGGGGAGUGAACUUCAACUCUUGAGUUCUAUUCCCAGCUCUGCUAUAUGACCUUUGGCAAGUCACUUCACUGUACCUCAGUUUCCCCAUCUGUAAAAUAGGAAGAGAUGAAAAGAUCUAUAUAAGAGCUAAGUAUUAUUAUUAGUCUGUUCCUGCUGCAAUCAGCUGAGAAGCAGCAGUAGUAAGAGAGUGCUCAGAAGUGGCCCGAAUGGGUGUAGGAAGUGCUGUUAUACAAAACAGAAGCAUAGGAAGGGCAGUUGGUGUGAGCUGGUGACCAGAGGGCCAUGGAGUCUAUGAGAAGCAGGACCUGUUUCCACAGAAGUGGUUGAGAGACUAGAACCAUUCCUCUCAACCAAAGACAUCUGGCUGUCCUAGCCACAGGCUGUCUACUGCCCCAGUGCACUUUUCUUGGCAUUAUUAUUUUCUAUAACACAUAAGGCAGUAUACCUCCACUCAAAUCAAAGCGAGACCCCUCUUCCCUGAAACGGUGCUUUUAUUUUCUUGGCUAUAUCAAGCUGGCAUUGGUCCAGUUGAAUACCUCUAAUUGCAUCCAUGUGACCCUUGCCUGAGUCAGCGGUGCCGUGCCAUGGAGGGGAAAGCACAGAAAGGAACAAAAGGGGAACAGAAGAAGCACUUCUGCUUUCAAUAUGAUCCAGGUCUGCCCCCUCAUGGUAAAGCCAAAGAGUUAAUGAGAAAUCCAGGCUCAGAGGAUACAAUAAGACGCAGGAGUCUACAGCUACCACUGAUGAAAUGUGACCUUCCAGCAUCCAACUGAAAACUCAUAUUAAAAAAAUAGCCUACCUCUUACCAUAGUGUGCAGUGCCAGCACAUAAUGAAUUACUUUUCAGAAUCAUGACAAAAAAGUGACCUUGGAAAACCACAGGGCAAAUGGCCUUGCACUGACCUGCCAUCGUUAGGAGCAUACUCAGAGAAUAAAGAAUAUUAAAAACUUCAUCAGAAACCUUUGCUCCAGCCACCUCAGAAGGCCUGAAGAGUGCAGAUAGAGAAAGCCCUUUGGGAUCCAGGCCCCACAGUCAGAGGGAGCCUGGAUGCAUCUGGAAUCAGUCAGAGCAGUAGGAUCCAUUUGACUCACUAACUUGUGGUCUAACCUUCAAGUAUAAGGAGACAGCAUGUGGGAGUCGUGACUCCAACUUCAUGGAAGGGGACACAAAGUUAUAAUGAAUAUGCAUCUAGAAUAAUCUUGAUCUACUCAAGCACGGGGAUCUGGAGGCUCAAACGGCUAAAGCAAAUGCUGCAUUCAGAAUGGUUUCCAAGGUACCAGCACCACCGCAGUGCCAGUUUUUGAGGGUGUCUGGGCCAUUAAAAACUGUAUUCUUUCAAGAAAGUUUAAUCAGGAGCACUAAACUCUGGGCUACAUUUUUCAAUUAGAAAUUGCAGGUUGACAGUGUUCUGAUCCAGAGCAGGCAGGUGGGCGGCGUACAAACCUCAGAGUGAACAUAACAGCAAGUGGAAAGGAAACAGAAACAAUAACAACACUGCGUCAGGCUUUGCUAUCCAUUCCCAGGUGUCACCAGAGUCCCAUGAUCUUGUGAGGCAUUGGGAGGACAUGAGCUCAGAAGCAGAAAACGCCAGAGGGCUGGAAAUAUUUACAAAAAAUAUUGUAAAACAAGAUACUUUGUUAUAUCCAUUGUUUCCUUUUAUUCUUCCCCUGUAAAUUAUUUACCAUAGUGGAAGGAUAGUUUACCAAUAAAUUGAAAUAAUCAUU